rnacentral:rRNA from 1 species
GAUGAACGCUGGCGGCGUGCCUAAUACAUGCAAGUCGAGCGAACAGACGAGGAGCUUGCUCCUCUGACGUUAGCGGCGGACGUGUGAGUAACACGUGGAUAACCUACCUAUAAGACUGGGAUAAAUUCGGGAAACCGGAGCUAAUACCGGAUAAUAUAUUGAACCGCAUGGUUCAAUAGUGAAAGACGGUUUUGCUGUCACUUAUAGAUGGAUCUGCGCCGCAUUAGCUAGUUGUUAAGGUAACGGCUUACCAAGGCAACGAUGCGUAGCCGACCUGAGAGGGUGAGCGGCCACACUGGAACUGAGACACGUUCCAGACACCUACGGGAGGCAGCAGUAGGAAAUCUUCCGCAAUGGGCGAAAGCGUGACGGAGCAACGCCGCGUGAGUGAUGAAGGUCUUCGGAUCGUAAAACUCUGUUGUUAGGGAAGAACAAAUGUGUAAGUAACUAGGCACGUCUUGACGGUACCUAAUCAGAAAGCCACGGCUAACUACGUG